rnacentral:rRNA from 1 species
AUUGAACGCUGGCGGCAGGCCUAACACAUGCAAGUCGAACGAGCGGCGGCCGGGUGAGUAAUGUAUGGGGAUCUGCCCGAUAGAUGGGGAUAACUACUGGAAACGGUCGCUAAUACCGCAUACUAUCGGAUGUACCCAUAUGGGAUUAGCUAGUAGGUGGGGUAAAGGCUCACCUAGGCGACGAUCUCUAGCUGGUCUGAGAGGAUUAUCAGCCACAUUGGUACUGAGACACGGCCCAGACUCCUACGGGAGGCAGCAGUGGGGAAUAUUGCAAAAUGGGCGCAAGCCUGAUGCAGCCAUGCCGCGUGUAUGAAGAAGGCCUUAGGGUUGUAAAGUACUGGCAGCGGGGAGGCGUUACCCGCAGAAGAAGCACCGGCUAACUCUGUGCCAGCAGCCGCGGUAAUAC